rnacentral:lncRNA from 1 species
UAUCAGAAAUUUCUGCUGUACUAGCCAAUCUUCAUUUUAAUGUCGCUGCUGCUGAAGUUUGGACCCAUAAUAGGCGCACAGCAUGUGUCCUUUAUGUCAAUGAUAAUUGUUCAUCACUUGACGUGGAUGAAGAAUCCAGAUUAUGUGUCAUGGAAGAGCAACUCAAUAACAUUCUUCGUGGACGGGAGGAUGAUGAGAGUGGGGCUCAUGCUACUUUCACAGUUGCUUCAUCACUUGAUGUGGAUGAAGAAUCCAGAUUAUGUGUCAUGGAAGAGCAACUCAAUAACAUUCUUCGUGGACGGGAGGAUGAUGAGAGUGGGGCUCAUGCUACUUUCACAGUUGGC